rnacentral:rRNA from 1 species
UACGUAGGUGGCGAGCGUUGUCCGGAUUUACUGGGCGUAAAGAGCGCGCAGGCGGUCGUUCAAGUCGCGUGUGAAAGCCCCCGGCUCAACUGGGGAGGGUCACGCGAUACUGAUCGACUCGAAGGCAGGAGAGGGAAGUGGAAUUCCCCGGUGUAGUGGUGAAAUGCGUAGAUAUUAGGAAGAACACCAGUGGCGAAGGCGGCUCACUGGCCCGGUACUGACGCUGAGGCGCGAAAGCGUGGGGAGCAAACAGGG